UUCGGAAUUACUGGGCGUAAAGGGCUCGUAGGCGGCCAACUAAGUCCGACGUGAAAUCCCAAGGCUUAACCUUGGAACUGCGUCGGAUACUGGAUGGCUUGAAUUCGGGAGAGGGAUGCAGAAUUCCAGGUGUAGCGGUGAAAUGCGUAGAUAUCUGGAGGAAUACCGGUGGCGAAGGCGGCAUCCUGGACCGACAUUGACGCUGAGGAGCGAAAGCUAGGGGAGCAAACGGG
rnacentral:rRNA from 1 species